rnacentral:rRNA from 1 species
GUAGGGGGCAAGCGUUGUCCGGAUUUAUUGGGCGUAAAGAGCUCGUAGGUGGUUCGGUAAGUUAGGUGUGAAACCUCCAGGCUCAACCUGGAGACGCCACUUGAUACUGCUGUGACUGGAGUCCGGUAGGGGAGCGUGGAAUUCCUGGUGUAGCGGUGAAAUGCGCAGAUAUCAGGAGGAACACCAGCGGCGAAGGCGGCGCUCUGGGCCGGUACUGACACUGAGGAGCGAAAGCGUGGGUAGCAAACAGGAUUAGAUACCCUGGUAGUCCACGCCGUAAACGUUGGGCACUAGGUGUGGGUCUCAACCAACGGGAUCUGUGCCGUAGCUAACGCAUUAAGUGCCCCGCCUGGGGAGUACGGCCGCAAGGCUA